rnacentral:lncRNA from 1 species
GACUCUAUUUAAUUGAGAGCAAAAAAAUAAAACACAUGACUAACCCAAAAAUUAACUUGAAAUAAUCUACUAAAACCAAAUAUCUUUGGAAUUAAAUGCACGAUGAUCUCUAACUCCAAGUGUAAGUCUUCACUAAAGUUGAAAAUGUAGCAUGUAUAUCCUAAUUAAUAUCACGAAAGUCAAUAUUAUCAGCUAAGUAAGCAUAAGCAUCCAAUUUAAAUUGUUUACAAUCAUCAGUUAAUAUAGUCAUCACAUCAAUGAAAGUUGAUCGAAAUCAAAC